AGGAUAUAGGUGUUGAGUGACACAAAUGAUUUGUGUUUAUUUUUAUCAUCAUUGAUCCAUUCCCUUCUUACAAAAUUAAAUGUAUGCUGUGAAUCGCCUGUGAGUCAAUGGAUAACGAAAUAGCCUCAUAUUCAGACUCUACAUGUAUAUUGGCUUCACUUGUUCAAAUGAUUUAAACCGGUGAAUCAUUAUAGUAAGACAGGCAAAAAACAAGAACAUAAUGUAGCUCACAUCCUGCUCGUUCUUUGAUUCAAAUACAUGUUUGCGAUAUUAAAGGGCACUAUCGUUUAAUGUGGCUAAUAAAGUUAAAAUUCAAAUUAUUUUCACCGCUAAUAUACAAAUCAUCGCAACUUUUCUGUUUCGGAAUUUCUCAGAACUGACCUUUCUAAUGUUGUUCACCUUUAGAAAUGUUCAACACAAGUUGUCUCAUGUCGAAGUCUAGGUGAGGAACCAAACUCAUGAUCGAUCAAAAAAGUUCGUCUCUUUUGCUCGAAAACGGGCUAUCGGCAUGCAUCGAGUUGAGUUCGUUCGUGUGCCUGGGGCAUACUUUCAGAAGCGUAUGUCAUGGUGCGUGUGAGAUUAAGCGCGGUAAAGGGACGUCUAAUGGAAGAGAUUUGAGGCAAAUAGGCGGGAAAUCCCUCGACGAGCCUCCGCUCCUACUUCUAAGCCCGGCCUGACAUCUAAGGUAUUAAAGGUGAUUUAUGAGCCAAAAAACAAAGGAUCCAAUUUCACCUUUCAAUUACAAGCCAUAGUCGCGCAUAUUCAAACCAGACUAGGCAUUGGGUUUUACAUAUAGGCCUACAAAUUUAUAGGAAUGUCCUUGAUUCAAUUAGCAGCACUAUUUAUUUAGAAUUGCACCCGCUUGUGCCAUAUAUUCUACCAGUUCUGUGAAUAUUAUUUUUGGUGACUCGUUAACAGGAAAAUGUAAGAGGGGUUGUAAACAUGUUUACAAGUUGCACCUUCAACUCUAAACAAUUCGUAUAUAGGUGGAUAAUUUGGGGUGUUUUUCACGCAGUCGUUAGAACCUCGUCUAUCUAGAUUGUUUUGACUCGAGUGUUUCAAUUUCUUCGAAUUUUUGUUUUCUAAAUAUUUUGAGAAACAAUAUUACACUUGAACAGACAGCAAUCACAGAACCCUCUCUAAUUCUAUUAUUGGAAACAAUCGAGAUAUGAAUAAGGAUUUUUUGGGGGGUAAUCCUCACAUAUCAUUUAUCUUCAGAUACUUUUUAAGUAUACAUAAUUAUGUUGUAGGUACUAUAAAGUGUUCGGCCUGUUUAAGAACGAAUAAUAAUCAUAGUAAAAUGAAUAUCAUAUCAUAUCGUCAAACCUUCCACCGUACCUGGUUUACUUGUCUAAUGUUUCCUUUGUGCAAAUUAUGUAUUUUUAGCAUUUUAGGCGUCCGUAUCUACAGAAUGACAAGGAUAAUCUAAAGUUUCCCUUCUCUUUAAACACGGCUACGGCGGCAUUUUCGUCAUUAUCGUCGCAGAGGUACAACCCAAUUUCCCAGGCAUAAAUAAUUCAAGGACGCUAUCACUGGUCCAUUGUAGUGUUCCUUGACUGCCAUAGAGCGCGCCGGUGAAAUAAAAAUAAAACACCCAUCCAUCCCUCGCACAUAUUACCCACACUCGCCCAAAUCUCUCUCACCCACCCUCUACUAAACGCACACAUGAUAAGGCGUGGUGGUAAUUGCGUGUGAUGCAUGUGCUCUGAAAACUGGCGAAGUGCUCUCUACCCAUCAUGCUUUGCUCGACCGGGCUAUGAAGCGUGCAGUAGACUAUGGGGAAUGACUAAUUUUCGUAGAGAAAUUUGGAAGAGAAAUAGUGCGUGCAAAACAAAUGCCGAUACAUAAGGCCAGGACGAGAAAAUAGCGGUAGAAUGACACUGCGAUGACGUUAACGCCAUUACAAAUUACAAGAAUAGGGGAAGUGGUAAACAAAAUUGCCUAGCAUUUGCAACAUAUUCUAUACAGUAUAUUACCUGAAUAUUUAUCACACUAAUUAAACAAUUGGAAACGACGAGAUCCCGCCACUUCCCCCGCAAAUCCCUAAAACUAUUGACUAUUAUGACUAAAUUACUAGUCUGCGCAAUUCGGUACAAUCACUUUUGCUGCUGUCAAUGUUAGUUCUGUGCACGAAUCAAUCAUGAUCUACUCAAAUUCCGUCUAGCUUGUAUCUAUGUUAGCAUGUACUGUAUUUGAGCCACAUUUGGAUUAAUUCAAUAAACCAUCAGGUAAAUACCAUAAAGACACCAUCUGACUACCAAAGCUUGGUUGUUGUUUUGCAUUUUUGAAUAAAAAUGUGAUACCUAGAAGUUAUUUGUUGUUUUGAAGAUCACUUUUAGCCUAAACUUAAAGUCGUUUACGACUUUGGAAAAGGUAUUUUGGUUCCAGAAGAAAAACUUAAAUUGCCGUAAUGACUCUUUUACUUCAUUAAAAAUAAAAGCCAGCCUUCACAUUUAAUAACAUAAUACGAACAAUCAUCGUUUAUAAGAAUAUACCCGAGAACAUCAUAAUCAUAUUCUAUCUAUGGAAUAACUUGGUUAUGCCUUAGCAAUGUCCUUAGAAUAUACCUUCUUGGUCACUUAAUUCUGGAAACAAGUUUACCACAUCCUCACAGUUUGUGAAACCUCCAGACACAAAUGAAGGGCCCCAAGGAUUUUUGGGUCAUACUUUAUCUACCGAUUCCUAUUGACAAGCUGUCAUCUUCUCUCUGCAUUGAGGUCAGUUGAUGAUGAUAAAAUCUCGUAAAGAGCAUAUUAAUAGUCUUUGAAAACAGGAAUGAUGGCAAGACAUCGCGAGGAUCUCAACCCUUAAACGCGAGAGAAGAGCUGAAAGAAAACAUACUAGAAGGUGGAGAAUUUGAUUAGAAAGAGGAGACACCCUGACUCGUUUGCUUGGCUGACAAUGAUGAUGGUGAUUGGUGUUCUGCUUGGCGUAGCAUCGCUGUGAUCAACAGCCCGAUCGACCCCGGUCUUCAAUAUUACAUGAAGGCCAAUUGGAAGUCCACAACGAAUUCGGCGAUCACUGGAAUAUUAUCACUAAUUCAGCUCUCUCGUUUCUCCAACAAGUCGUAUGAACGGUGAAGAAUAGUAUUUAAGAAUGCAGAAAAAAAAGAUUAAAGUGGUAAACAUCAUCAUGAGUAAUGAAUAACCUUAUCCAGACAAUUAGAGCCAAGUGAAACUCAUUAACAUUUUGUUGUCCAUUCAAUAUGGACAGGGUGUUUUUCACAAGACAUGCUUCCACUCUCUGGAACUACUCCCUAAUACGGUUUCCCUGAAAAGAAAAAAAAACAAUGUUGCAAAAGUUUUUUUAAUUGAAAAGUGUCUUAUUUGCUACUUGAAUAAAGUUAAUAAUAGGAUUGUUAAAAGAAAGUACCCCUCACAGAACGGAUAUUCAGAGACUGCAAGAACUGUGACCCAGGACCCCUCCCCCUUCUCCCGACGUGCUCUAACCCACAUCUAUUUCAACAAAUAUGGCGUCGUCGAUUGAGUUUUAUCUGUUUGACUUGGAUAUGUAUCAUCACUGCCUAUCGGAGGAGCUCUCGAAGGAAUGCAAGAAAUUGAAUUUUGAGUGAAAGUGAUUCAAGGAACGCAAAUACACACGAGAACGUCACCGAGCUAAUGACAUCACUGUCAAGUGAACAGUUUGGUUACAACGUGCAACGCAUCCCCCGCAUGCCAAAUGGAAUAAUCAAACGGAAGACAGACCAUCAUACCCAUUCGACGAGUCUAUUCCAAGCAGAGGGGUGCCCGGACAUCAUAUGUCCUAAGACAGCCAUGUUGGAGGAACAUACACGAUGAACCGAUGAAAAGGCGCCAACCUGUCCUCUCUAGUCUUCGAUCCAGUUCUCCUAACUCUAACAGUCAGCCUUUAUACCAAGCCCUAAGAAAUCUUCUUGGAUCACACGUGAUCAAUACACACUGCACACCAUAGCUGUACACACCAGCAGUCAGCAUGCUUCACGCCAAUACAAAGAGAGGCACUUCCACAGUGUAUCUCGAGCAAGCAUCGGGCAGACAUGGUAUGAUGAGACGCGUGUUGCCAUUGGCUCCUGGACCUCACCGGGCGUCACGUGAUCGCAUUUCAAGUGAGUCAUUAGGCAUUGUGACGUAUAUCGGAAGGACGAUGUCUGCCCCAUGCAGUAGCUGUGUACGCUGAUCAAUGAUUAAUACUGGAGUAGAAAAGAUGAGUGGAAAGUGCUACAUCCAACGACGCACACACAACGAGCUAAACACACGCACCUCCAUAGCCACAAACACACCCACACUCUAAACCGCCAGAUACACAGCGAGUCAACGGUUAUCUGGGUUUUGGAAUACAGAUGGCCAUUAACGAGAUCCUCCUUUGGUAAAUAGAAAUACAUCGUAACAAUGAAUGAUCUUUAAAAAAAACACUUUAGUAAACUUGAUAUUCGACCA
rnacentral:lncRNA from 1 species